AGGGGGCAGAGUCUACCAAACAUGGCGUUGCAGAGAUCUAUCAAAAAUAAACACAGAAUAAACAUAGUUUUAAUUGGUGAUAAAGAUGUUGGAAAGACCUCUUUAUUUGAGCUAUUCCGGAAACAUAGAGUUUGUGAAGUGACUGAAAGCACCGUUGGUCUCAAUGUUGAGAUUAUAAACAUGGUAACAAGACAAAGGAAUGUUACAGUUGAGGUAAAAACUGAAACUAAACUACACUGACUAUGGUUAUACAUCCAAUGAAUGAUAGCUAAAGUGUCCUGCAUGGUCCACACAUACAUUUUAUACAGUGACUGACUGUUAUAGACCUCUUCAGGUGAGAUUGACGGUG